GACGAACGCUGGCGGCGUGCUUAACACAUGCAAGUCGAACGGAUUGCUUGGUGCUUGCACUGAGUGGUUAGUGGCGAACGGGUGAGUAACACGUGAGUAACCUGCCCCCUUCUUUGGGAUAAGCACCUGAAAGGGUGUCUAAUACUGAUUAUUCUGCUGGAAUCGCAUGGUUUUGGUUGGAAAGGUUUUUCUGGUGGGGGAUGGGCUCGCGGCUUAUCAGCUGGUUGGUGGGGUAAUGGCUUACCAAGGCUUUGACGGGUAACCGGCCUGAGAGGGUGACCGGUCACAUUGGGACUGAGAUACGGCCCAGACUCCUACGGGAGGCAGCAGUGAGGAAUAUUGCACAAUGGACGAAAGUCUGAUGCAGCGACGCCGCGUGAGGGAUGAAGGCCUUCGGGUUGUAAACCUUUUUCGCUUUUGACCAAGGCAGCAUUUUGGUGUUGUUGAGGGUAUGAGGUAAAGAAGCUCCGGCUAACCACGUGCCAGCCGCCGCGGUAACAC
rnacentral:rRNA from 1 species